CGAAACCGAUAGCGAACAAGUACCGUGAGGGAAAGUUGAAAAGUACUCUGAAUAGAGAGUUAAAUAGUACGUGAAACCGCUUAGGGGUUAAGCCCGAUGAACCCGAAUAUCUGAUGUGAGAAAUUCAAUACGAUUCAAAUUCAUAUUUUUAUAUUGGAUUUGUAUAGUAUGCACUUUUCUCAUAGUAAGACAUUGUAAUCCAUUGAUAUUAUAUCUCAUAUGAGAUGAUUUAACAUACGGACAAAAUGUUUAUGAUUAUUCUAUCAGUGAUAUGUUUACAUGUCAUAUGAAUAAAAUCGUUUUGUUUCCUGUUUAAAUAGUCGAUGGAUUUUUCAUUGAAAUCAUGCUUGCAAUUUAUUUUGCGUUUCGUAUUAUUAAUUUUUAAUUGGUGAUAGCAGAAAUGGCAUGUAUUCGAUUAACAAUGCGAUAGAUUUGGGAUACUUUCAGGACCCGUCUUGA
rnacentral:rRNA from 1 species